GGUCAGUUAGCUCAAUUGGUUAGAGCGUGGUUCUAAUAAUGCCAAGGUCGCUGGUUCGAUUCCUGUACUGGCUA